GACGAACGCUGGCGGCGUGCUUAACACGUGCAAGUCGAACGCUGAAGCUCAGCUUUUGUUGGGUGGAUGAGUGGCGAACGGGUGAGUAACACGUGAGUAACCUGCCUCCUUCUUUGGGAUAACGCCCGGAAACGGGUGCUAAUACUGGAUAUUCACUGGUCUUCGCAUGGGGGUUGGUGGAAAGGGUUUUUCUGGUGGGGGAUGGGCUCGCGGCCUAUCAGCUUGUUGGUGGGGUGAUGGCCUACCAAGGCUUUGACGGGUAGCCGGCCUGAGAGGGUGACCGGUCACAUUGGGACUGAGAUACGGCCCAGGCUCCUACGGGGGGCAGCAGUGGGGAAUAUGGCACAAUGGGCGCAAGCCUGAUGCAGCGACGCCGCGUGAGGGAUGGAGGCCUUCGGGUUGUGAACCUCUUUCGCUCAUGGUCAAGCCGCAACAAUGGUUGUGGUGAGGGUAGUGGGUAAAGAAGCGCCGGCUAACUACGUG
rnacentral:rRNA from 1 species